AAUAUUGUAGCUCAGUCGGAUAGAGCGCCGAUUGCCAAUCGAGAUCGCGGGUUCAAGUCCCGUCCAUCCCU
rnacentral:tRNA from 2 species